UACGGGGGGGGGCAAGCGUUGUUCGGAAUUACUGGGCGUAAAGGGCUCGUAGGCGGCCAACUAAGUCAGACGUGAAAUCCCUCGGCUUAACCGGGGAACUGCAUCUGAUGCUGGAUGGCUUGAGUUCGGGAGAGGGAUGCGGAAUUCCAGGUGUAGCGGUGAAAUGCGUAGAUAUCAGGAAGAACACCCGUGGCGAAGGCGGCUCUCUGGGACGGUACUGACGCUGAGACGCGAAAGCGUGGGGAGCGAACAGG
rnacentral:rRNA from 1 species